AUUGAACGCUGGCGGCAUGCCUAACACAUGCAAGUCGAACGGCAGCACGGCAGUAGCAAUACUGUGGGUGGCGAGUGGCGGACGGGUGAGGAAUACGUCGGAAUCUGCCCAGUCGUGGGGGAUAACUAGCCGAAAGGUUAGCUAAUACCGCAUACGACCGAGAGGUGAAAGCGGGGGACUGCAAGGCCUCGCGCGAUUGGAUGAGCCGACGUCGGAUUAGCUAGUUGGUGGGGUAAAGGCCCACCAAGGCGACGAUCCGUAGCUGGUCUGAGAGGAUGAUCAGCCACACUGGAACUGAGACACGGUCCAGACUCCUACGGGAGGCAGCAGUGGGGAAUAUUGGACAAUGGGCGCAAGCCUGAUCCAGCAAUGCCGCGUGUGUGAAGAAGGCCUUCGGGGUGUAAAGGCUCUGUCAGCUGGAACGAAAAAAAUAGACGGUACCAGCAGAGAAGCAUCGGCUAACUACGUGCCAGCAGCCGCGGUAAUC
rnacentral:rRNA from 1 species